GACGAACCGUGCGAACGUUAUUCGGAAUCACUGGGCUUAAAGGGCGCGUAGGCGGGCGGUCAAGUCAGAGGUGAAAUCCCACGGCUCAACCGUGGAAGUGCCCCUGAUACUGGCCGUCUUGAGGGAGGUAGGGGCGUGCGGAACUUCCGGUGGAGCGGUGAAAUGCGUAGAUAUCGGAAGGAACACCGGUGGCGAAGGCGGCGCGCUGGACCUCUACUGACGCUGAGGCGCGAAAGCCAGGGGAGCAAACGGG
rnacentral:rRNA from 1 species